rnacentral:rRNA from 1 species
UUGGAGGGCAAGUCUGGUGCCAGCAGCCGCGGUAAUUCCAGCUCCAAUAGCGUAUAUUAAAGUUGUUGCAGUUAAAAAGCUCGUAGUUGAAUUUCGGGAUCGACGGGUCGGUCGCGCCUCUGGUGUGUACUGGCCCUGUCGGUUUCUCCCUUCUGACGAACCACGAUGUCAUUAAUUUGGUGUCGUGGGAAAUCAGGACUGUUACUUUGAAAAAAUUAGAGUGUUUAAAGCAGGCAUUCGCUUGAAUACAUUAGCAUGGAAUAAUGAAAUAGGACGUUUGAUCUUAUUUUGUUGGUUUCUAAGAUCGACGUAAUGGUUAAUAGGGAUAGUUGGGGGCAUUAGUAUUCAAUUGUCAGAGGUGAAAUUCUUGGAUUUAUUGAAGACUAACUACUGCGAAAGCAUUUGCCAAGGAUGUUUUCAUUAAUCAAGAACGAAAGUUAGGGGAUCGAAGACGAUCAGAUACCGUCGUAGUCUUAACCAUAAACUAUGCCGACUAGGGAUCGGAUGAUGUUAAUUUUUUAAUGACUCAUUCGGCGCCUUACGGGAAAC